rnacentral:lncRNA from 1 species
CACCAUAUAUAAAGAAAAAUUUACACAUUCUCUCACCUCAUCUCAAAUAACUGCAACAAAAAUGGUAUGUUCCUCAUUCUAAAACUCUCCAACCUCUCUCUAAUCAUUUGAAGUUAUAAACACCAAACUUUAUAUCAAUUUAUUGUUUUUGUCUCAUGUCUUUCUCAUUAGUUUAUCUUAUUUUACAGGUUUUUCAUCACAU